rnacentral:lncRNA from 1 species
GCUUAAAUGACCACUAUAGUGCCAGGAAAACAUACUAGUUUUCCUGGCACUAUAGUGCCCUGAGGGUGCCCCCACCCUCAGGGUCCCCCUCCCGCCUGGCUCUGGGGAGAGGAAAGGGGUUAAAACUUACCUUUUUCCAGCGCUGGGCGGGGAGCUCUCCUCCUCCGAUCCUCCUCCAUUCCUCCCAUUCGGCUGAAUGCGCAUGCGUGGCAGGAG